rnacentral:rRNA from 1 species
GAUGAACGCUGGCGGCGUGCCUAAUACAUGCAAGUCGAGCGAACGGACGAGAAGCUUGCUUCUCUGAUGUUAGCGGCGGACGGGUGAGUAACACGUGGAUAACCUACCUAUAAGACUGGGAUAACUUCGGGAAACCGGAGCUAAUACCGGAUAAUAUUUUGAACCGCAUGGUUCAAAAGUGAAAGACGGUCUUGCUGUCACUUAUAGAUGGAUCCGCGCUGCAUUAGCUAGUUGGUAAGGUAACGGCUUACCAAGGCAACGAUGCAUAGCCGACCUGAGAGGGUGAUCGGCCACACUGGAACUGAGACCCGGUCCAGACUCCUACGGGAGGCAGCAGUAGGGAAUCGUCCGCAAUGGGCGAAAGCCUGACGGAGCAACGCCGCGUGAGUGAUGAAGGUCUUCGGAUCGUAAAACUCUGUUAUUAGGGAAGAACAUAUGUGUAAGUAACUGUGCACAUCUUGACGGUACCUAAUCAGACAGCCGCGGCUAACUAC